rnacentral:tRNA from 1 species
GCGGGUGUGGCGGAAUUGGUAGACGCGCAAGAUUAAGGAUCUUGUGAUCAUUAUCGAUCAUGAAAGUUCGAGUCUUUUCACCCGCA